rnacentral:rRNA from 1 species
CAAUAGCGUAUAUUAAAGUUGUUGCAGUUAAAAAGCUCGUAGUCGGAUUUGUGGCGUACGGUGUGUUCCGGGCACUUGUUGUCUGAGUAACCUGCUGUUGCCAUCCUUGGGUGGAACCUGUGUGGCAUUAGGUUGUCGUGCAGGGGAUGCCCAUCAUUUACUGUGAAAAAAUUAGAGUGUUCAAAGCAGGCUUAUGCCGUUGAAUAUAUUAGCAUGGAAUAAUGAGAUAGGACUUUUUUGCUAUUUUGUUGGUUUGCGCAAGAAGGUAAUGAUUAAUAGGGACAGUUGGGGGUAUUCGUAUUCCAUUGUCAGAGGUGAAAUUCUUGGAUUUUUGGAAGACGAACUACUGCGAAAGCAUUUACCAAGGAUGUUUUCAUUAA